rnacentral:ncRNA from 1 species
GUCUUGGUCGGAAACCAAGACCGCAAAGGAG